rnacentral:pre_miRNA from 1 species
GAGACUGUCGUUUGGGGUGAGGUAGUAGGUUGUAUAGUUUGAGGGUUUAACCCUUGCUGUCAGAUAACUAUACAACUUACUGUCUUUCCCGAAGUGGCCGUAGUGUC